UACGUAGGGGGCAAGCGUUAUCCGGAUUUACUGGGUGUAAAGGGAGCGUAGGUGGUUCGGCAAGUCAGAUGUGAAAGCCCGGGGCUCAACCCCGGGACUGCAUUUGAAACUGCCGUACUAGAGUGCAGGAGAGGUAAGUGGAAUUCCUAGUGUAGCGGUGAAAUGCGUAGAUAUUAGGAGGAACACCAGUGGCGAAGGCGGCUUACUGGACUGUAACUGACACUGAGGCUCGAAAGCGUGGGGAGCAAACAGGAUUAGAAACCCCAGUAGUCC
rnacentral:rRNA from 1 species